UAUCGGAUUGAUACUAAGCCAUGCGAGUCAUUGUAGCAAUACAAGGCAGACGGCUCAGUAACGCGUAGUCAAUCUACCCUAUGGACGGGAAUAACCUCGGGAAACUGAGAAUAAUGCCCGAUAGAACAUUAUGCCUGGAAUGGUUUAUGUUUCAAAUGAUUUAUCGCCAUAGGAUGGGACUGCGGCCUAUCAGUUUGUUGGUGAGGUAAUGGCCCACCAAGACUAUUACAGGUACGGGCUCUGAGAGGAGUGGCCCGGAGAUGGGUACUGAGACACGGACCCAGGCCCUAUGGGGCGCAGCAGGCGAGAAAACUUUGCAAUGUGCGAAAGCACGACAAGGUUAAUCCGAGUGGUUUCUGCUAAAGAAACCUUUUGUCAGUCCUAGAAACACUAACGAAUAAGGGGUGGGCAAGUU
rnacentral:rRNA from 1 species